UCGCCAGCAGCCGACGGUAAUACGGGAGGGUGCGAGCGUUAAUACGGUAAUUACGUGGGACGUAAAGCGCAUGCAGGCGGCCUGUUAAGUCAGAUGUAGAAACGGCCCGGGGACCUUAACCGUACGGUAAGUUGCUAUUUAGUAAACGUGGCGAGGCUAGAGUCUUGUAGAGGGGGUAGGAAUUUCAGGUGUAGCGGUGAAAUGCGUAGAGAUCUGAAGGAAUACCAGUGGCGAAGGCGGCCCCCUGGACAAAGACUGACGCUCAGAUGCGAAAGCGUGGGGAGCAAACAGGAUUAGAUACCCUGGUAG
rnacentral:rRNA from 1 species